rnacentral:rRNA from 1 species
ACUCCUACGGGAGGCAGCAGUGGGGAAUAUUGGGCAAUGGGGGAAACCCUGACCCAGCAACGCCGCGUGAAGGAAGAAGGUUUUCGGAUUGUAAACUUCUGUCCUUGGUGAAGAGAAGAAGACGGUAGCCAAGGAGGAAGCCCCGGCUAACUACGUGCCAGCAGCCGCGGUAAU